rnacentral:lncRNA from 1 species
AUUUCAGCCCUGAGGAGAGACACUAAGUCUCUCUGGAACCUUAGGAAUGAGGCUGAGUGUGCUUGGGGUUUUCACUAAAGAUAACACUAUAUAUAUAGUGUAUUAUAUAGAGGUUAUGUUUUGUAAAUGACUUUAUAUACAUUCAUUUCUAUAUUUGGUCCUCACCUCCCUGUGAAAUAGCUAUCCAUGUGGCAGAUGAGGAAAGGAGGGAUACAGGAGUUAAAGGACUGCCCAGAACCAUACUGCUAGUUAGUGGCAAAGCUAGGACUCAGACUUAUAUUGGCUGAUUCCAUAUAAAUGUAUUACAGGGGACAAGAAUCAUCUCCCUUUGUAAUUGACGGAGUGGAUGCACAGCUAUGCUUGAAGCCUCAGUGUGGGUGGAAUGUCAAGGAGAGAGAUGUGUGAAAAUUUAAAGGAGAAUUAACCAGAGGGGGAUUGAAGAAAUUUCCUGGAGAUCUCACUGAUCUGGAGAUUCCUGGGAGAGUGAGUGAGAAAUGAACCUCGAGGAGAAACUGACCUCUAAUGCAGAGGGUGGAAGAGGAGGACGCUGGAGAAAGAGCAGCUUCGGCGGCCAUUGCAUUCCCUCCCUCCCAGAUCUGUCCUCCUAUCAGAAGCGGUGCCAGAACCAGCCCCACAAUGGGGGUUUCACCCAAGGGCCCCAACCUAAUAUGGGGUGCAUGCUUUCUCAUGGGGCUUGGUGGACUACCCUGUCCUGUCCUACAAGCCCGAUGGCCUAUAGUGGAACUGUAUGCUGUGCAGUGCCUUGCCUUACCUACUCAACUGGUUUGCUUUACGUGCAGUUUCUGCUAGUUAUAGCUCUGAUCAGAAGGAUGCAAAGUCACCCGGAGCAUGAUGACAACCACCCCAGCAGCCCAAGACUGGAGAAGGGUGAAGAGCUUGUAAGGAAGAAGUAAGCUGAUGGGAUUUUCAUUGUUUUUUUUCCAGAAGCCAUAGAUUAAAAAGGGUGACUUCUCCCUGGCCUCUCAGGGGGGAUUCAUCAUUGCCCUGAAACUCCAAUAACAGACUUUCUCCUGCCCUAUACAAACUUUUGACCUUAUUUAAACUACUGGAAUCCUAAUUACUAAGACAGCUAUACAUACUACACUCCUGUCAGAACUCAACAUUUAUUUAUAAAACUUAAUUUGAAGUCCCAGCCCAGGUUCUGGUUUAUUUGGAAGUAACUUGGAUCCCUCAGGCAGACAGUGAAGAAGAAAGGAAUGAUUUGGAUUUUUCACUAGCAGCACUGUCACUGUGUGCCAGGACACAGAAAAAGAGUUCACUGACCAGGAGCCAACCCUGAUGUUAUCUCAAAGAGAAGCUAAACCCCAGGCCUUUCCAGAAGGCAGAAGAAGGUGAAGCUAGGAUAGCAGUUCCUGAUAGACUGUUGAGAGCAGCUCCCUAUGUUUCUCACUCCAGAGGCUCUCAUUGAGUAUUUGCAGUGUGAGAUGAAGGAGUGUUAUGGAUGCGUGAUGGGACAUCACUAGGAAAAAAAGAAAAAGACAAAGCAUCAUCAUCACAGACCCUGCAUUCAUUCACAUCAUCUUUAGGGCAGGGGUGGGGAACCUGCGGCCAGCAGGCCACAUGUGGCCCUCUAGGUCCUCAGGUGUGGGCCUUUGACCAAAUCCAAACUUCACAGAACAAAUCCCCUUAAUAAAAGGAUUUGUUCUGUAAAACUUGGGCUCA